rnacentral:misc_RNA from 1 species
CAACCCUCAAGCCCCCCCGGGGGCUCGGUGUUGGGGACCGGCCCCGCCUCCCACGAGGCAGGCGCCGCCCCCGAAAUCCAGUGGCGGUCUCGCCGCGGCCUCCGCUUGCGCAGUAACAACUGAACCUCGCUUGCGGAGCGCGGCAGGGCCACGCCGUAAAACCCCAACUCAGAAAAG